rnacentral:rRNA from 1 species
UUAAAUUGAAGAGUUUGAUCAUGGCUCAGAUUGAACGCUGGCGGCAGGCCUAACACAUGCAAGUCGAACGGUAACAGGAAGCAGCUUGCUGCUUUGCUGACGAGUGGCGGACGGGUGAGUAAUGUCUGGGAAACUGCCUGAUGGAGGGGGAUAACUACUGGAAACGGUGGCUAAUACCGCAUAACGUCGCAAGACCAAAGAGGGGGACCUUCGGGCCUCUUGCCAUCAGAUGUGCCCAGAUGGGAUUAGCUUGUUGGUGAGGUAACGGCUCACCAAGGCGACGAUCCCUAGCUGGUCUGAGAGGAUGACCAGCCACACUGGAACUGAGACACGGUCCAGACUCCUACGGGAGGCAGCAGUGGGGAAUAUUGCACAAUGGGCGCAAGCCUGAUGCAGCCAUGCCGCGUGUAUGAAGAAGGCCUUCGGGUUGUAAAGUACUUUCAGCGGGGAGGAAGGUGUUGUGGUUAAUAACCGCAGCAAUUGACGUUACCCGCAGAAGAAGCACCGGCUAACUCCGUGCCAGCAGCCGCGGUAAUACGGAGGGUGCAAGCGUUAAUCGGAAUUACUGGGCGUAAAGCGCACGCAGGCGGUCUGUCAAGUCGGAUGUGAAAUCCCCGGGCUCAACCUGGGAACUGCAUUCGAAACUGGCAGGCUUGAGUCUUGUAGAGGGGGGUAGAAUUCCAGGUGUAGCGGUGAAAUGCGUAGAGAUCUGGAGGAAUACCGGUGGCGAAGGCGGCCCCCUGGACAAAGACUGACGCUCAGGUGCGAAAGCGUGGGGAGCAAACAGGAUUAGAUACCCUGGUAGUCCACGCCGUAAACGAUGUCUACUUGGAGGUUGUGCCCUUGAGGCGUGGCUUCCGGAGCUAACGCGUUAAGUAGACCGCCUGGGGAGUACGGCCGCAAGGUUAAAACUCAAAUGAAUUGACGGGGGCCCGCACAAGCGGUGGAGCAUGUGGUUUAAUUCGAUGCAACGCGAAGAACCUUACCUGGUCUUGACAUCCACAGAAGAAUCCAGAGAUGGAUUUGUGCCUUCGGGAACUGUGAGACAGGUGCUGCAUGGCUGUCGUCAGCUCGUGUUGUGAAAUGUUGGGUUAAGUCCCGCAACGAGCGCAACCCUUAUCCUUUGUUGCCAGCGGUUAGGCCGGGAACUCAAAGGAGACUGCCAGUGAUAAACUGGAGGAAGGUGGGGAUGACGUCAAGUCAUCAUGGCCCUUACGACCAGGGCUACACACGUGCUACAAUGGCGCAUACAAAGAGAAGCGACCUCGCGAGAGCAAGCGGACCUCAUAAAGUGCGUCGUAGUCCGGAUUGGAGUCUGCAACUCGACUCCAUGAAGUCGGAAUCGCUAGUAAUCGUGGAUCAGAAUGCCACGGUGAAUACGUUCCCGGGCCUUGUACACACCGCCCGUCACACCAUGGGAGUGGGUUGCAAAAGAAGUAGGUAGCUUAACCUUCGGGAGGGCGCUUACCACUUUGUGAUUCAUGACUGGGGUGAAGUCGUAACAAGGUAACCGUAGGGGAAUCUGCGGUUGGAUCACCUCCUUACCUUAAAGAAGC